UAGGGAAUAUUGGGCAAUGGGCGCAAGCCUGACCCAGCAACGCCGCGUGAGGGAAGAAGGUUUUCGGAUUGUAAACCUCUGUCCUAUGUGACGAAGGAAGUGACGGUAGCAUAGGAGGAAGCCCCGGCUAACUACGUGCCAGCAGCCGCGGUAAUACGUAGGGGGCGAGCGUUGUCCGGAAUUACUGGGCGUAAAGGGCAUGCAGGCGGUUCAUCAAGUAGGAUGUGAAAUCCCCGGGCUCAACCUGGGAACAGCAUACUAAACUGGUGGACUAGAGUAUUGCAGGGGGAGACGGAAUUCCAGGUGUAGCGGUGGAAUGCGUAGAUAUCUGGAAGAACACCAAAGGCGAAGGCAGUCUCCUGGGCAAAUACUGACGCUCAUAUGCGAAAGCGUGGGUAGCAAACAGGAUUAGAUACCCUGGUAGU
rnacentral:rRNA from 1 species